rfam:Nematostella vectensis strain CH2 x CH6 NEMVEscaffold_13_Cont2737, whole genome shotgun sequence.
GUCUCUGUGGCGCAAUCGGUUAGCGCGUUGGGCUGUUAACCGAAAGGUUGGUGGUUCAAGCCUACCUAGGGCUU